ensembl:snoRNA LOC120102079 small nucleolar RNA SNORA40
AACACCUGUACAUGUUCAACUAUCAGACAAAGACAUGGAAAGCAGAUGCAAAAUAAAUCCUCCCUUGAAACCUAGAACUCACGGUUCAGUAUGAGUUUUGACACAUACAAGAAGGGACAUG